AGUCGACGGAGAUAUACGCUGAAGAUUUAGCUUGCUAUUGAUUCUUGUAUAUCUUAGUGGCGGACGGGUGAGUAACGCGUGAGCAACCUGCCUUUCAGAGGGGGAUAACGUUUGGAAACGAACGCUAAUACCGCAUGACAUUAUUGAGCUGCAUGGCUUGAUAAUCAAAGGAGCAAUCCGCUGAAAGAUGGGCUCGCGUCCGAUUAGGUAGUUGGUGAGGUAACGGCCCACCAAGCCGACGAUCGGUAGCCGGACUGAGAGGUUGGACGGCCACAUUGGGACUGAGACACGGCCCAGACUCCUACGGGAGGCAGCAGUAAGGGAUAUUGGUCAAUGGGGGAAACCCUGAACCAGCAACGCCGCGUGAGGGAAGACGGUUUUCGGAUUGUAAACCUCUGUCCUCUGUGAAGAUGAUGACGGUAGCAGAGGAGGAAGCUCCGGCUAACUACGUGCCAGCAGCCGCGGUAAUACGUAGGGAGCGAGCGUUGUCCGGAUUUACUGGGUGUAAAGGGUGCGUAGGCGGCUAUGCAAGUCAGUAGUGAAAUCCAUGGGCUUAACCCAUGAACUGCUAUUGAAACUGCACAGCUUGAGUGAAGUAGAGGUAGGCGGAAUUCCCGGUGUAGCGGUGAAAUGCGUAGAGAUCGGGAGGAACACCAGUGGCGAAGGCGGCCUACUGGGCUUUAACUGACGCUGAGGCACGAAAGCGUGGGUAGCAAACAGGAUUAGAUACCCUGGUAGUCCACGCUGUAAACGAUGAU
rnacentral:rRNA from 1 species